GAUGAACGCUGGCGGCGUGCCUAAUACAUGCAAGUCGAGCGAACAGACGAUGAGCUUGCUCCUCUGACGUUAGCGGCGGACGGGUGAGUAACACGUGGAUAACCUACCUAUAAGACUGGUAUAACUUCGGGAAACCGGAGCUAAUCCCGGAUAAUAUAUUGAACCGCAUGGUUCAAUAGUGAAAGACGGUUUUGCUGUCACUUAUAGAUGGAUCCGCGCCGCAUUAGCUAGUUGGUAAGGUCACGGCUUACCAAGGCAACGAUGCGUAGCCGACCUGAGAGGGUGAUAGGCAACACUGGAACUGAGACACGGUCCAGACUCCUACGGGAGGCAGCAGUAGGGAAUCUUACGCAAUGGGCGAAAGCCUGACGGAGCAACGCCGCGUGAGUGAUGAAGGUCUUCGGAUCGUAAAACUCUGUUAUUAGGGAAGAACAAAUGUGUCAGUAACUAUGCACGUAUUGACGGUACCUAAUAAGAAAGCCACGGCUAACUACGUG
rnacentral:rRNA from 1 species